rnacentral:rRNA from 1 species
GUCGAGAAUCUUUCACAAUGGGGGCAACCCUGAUGGAGCGACGCCGCGUGGAGGAUAAGGUCUUCGGAUUGUAAACUCCUGUCAUGCGUGAACAAGGUUGCUUGGUUAAUACCUGGGCAAAUUGAUGGUAACGCAAGAGGAAGAGACGGCUAACUCUGUGCCAGCAGCCGCGGUAAUACAGAGGUCUCAAGCGUUGUUCGGAAUCACUGGGCGUAAAGGGUGCGUAGGUGGCGUGGUAAGUCAGAUGUGAAAGCCCGGGGAUCAACCUCGGAACUGCAUCCGAUACUGCCAUGCUAGAGUACUGGAGAGGUGACUAGAAUUCUCGGUGUAGCAGUGAAAUGCGUAGAUAUCGAGAGGAAUACCAAAGGCGUAGGCAGGUCACUGGACAGUUACUGACACUGAGGCACGAAGGCCAGGGGAGCGAACGGGAUUAGAAACCCCAGUAGUCC